GUGCCCUUUCCAACUAAGUUGAAGGGUGAUUUAUAGUAGUCAAUGAGGUGAGUGUGAAGUAGGGAUUAAUUGGAUUAAGCAUGUGUUGAUGGUGGAGAGUUAGUGGAAAAUAAAUAACGGUGACGUAGGUGGGUGUUAAAUGGCUAUGAAUGACAUAAAAUAGGCUUUUUAGCUUCAACGGUUUUGUCUUCUCUUCUCCCUCUUUACUUCUCUUUACAAUCACAAUAAUCCCACAAUCAAUUCUUCAAUAAAAAUCCACCAGC
rnacentral:lncRNA from 1 species